UACGGGAGGCGACAGUAGGGAAUCUUCCACAACGGGCGAAAGCCUGAUGGAGCAACGCCGCGUGAGUGAAGAAGGUUUUCGGACCGUAAAACUCUGUUGUAAGGGAAGAAUAAGUACAGUAGUAACUGGCUGUACCUUGACGGUACCUUAUUAGAAAGCCACGGCUAACUACGUGCCAGCAGCCGCGGUAAUA
rnacentral:rRNA from 1 species